GCGCCUUUAGCUCAGUUGGUAGAGCAGUAGACUCUUAAUCUAUUUGUCCAGGGUUCGAGUCCCUGAAGGCGCAC
rnacentral:tRNA from 10 species